rnacentral:rRNA from 1 species
UACAGAGGGUGCUAGCGUUGUUCGGAAUCAUUGGGCGUAAAGGAUGUGUAGGUGGUCGCAUUAGUCUCUCGUUAAAACCCCGGGCUUAACCCGGGUCCUGCGGGAGAAACGGUGCGACUAGAGGAUGCAAGGGGUCUGCGGAACUCAUAGUGUAGCGGUGAAAUGCGUUGAUAUUAUGGGGAACACCAAAAGCGAAGGCAGCAGACUGGGGCACUCCUGACACUGAAACAUGAAAGCGUGGGUAGCGAAAGGG